rfam:Dipodomys ordii contig_41080, whole genome shotgun sequence.
UGGCUCAGUGGUAGAGCGCUUGCCUUGCAUGCCAGAGGCCCUGGGUUCGAUUUCUCAG